UACGUAGGGUGCAAGCGUUGUCCGGAAUUAUUGGGCGUAAAGAGCUCGUAGGCGGUCUGUCGCGUCGGCUGUGAAAACCCGGAGCUCAACUCCGGGCCUGCAGUCGAUACGGGCAGACUGGAGUUCGGCAGGGGAGACUGGAAUUCCUGGUGUAGCGGUGAAAUGCGCAGAUAUCAGGAGGAACACCGGUGGCGAAGGCGGGUCUCUGGGCCGAUACUGACGCUGAGGAGCGAAAGCGUGGGGAGCGAACAGGA
rnacentral:rRNA from 1 species